AAGGUGAGACGUUGAGGAUUAUAAUAAAUACUGCGUUGAUGUCUUACAAGCAAGCCUAACAGCCGAUCUUUGAGUCUACAACAAGAACGCCAUAUUGCCAGAGGGACAUCCAUCAUUGUGUGGAAAGGGCCGGUGGGUGAGACAGGGAUGCAGCUUAAGCCCCACCCUCUUCAACAUAUAUUUCAACGAAUUGGCCAGAUCAUCAGUUGGCACUAGAAAAGUCUCCAGCACCCGGCAUCAACCUACUAGAAUCUGAAGUCAAAUGAGACCUGGCUCUCAAGAGAAGACAGGCUAUGUGCACACUGCCCACAAAAUGAGGUGGAAACUGAGCUGCACUUCCUAACCUCCUGUCAAAUGUAUGACCAUAUUAGAGACACAUAUUUCUAUCAGAUUACACAGACCCACAAAGAUUUAGAAAACAAAUCAAAUUUGAUAAACUCCCAUAUCUAUUGGGUGAAAUAUCAGUGU
rnacentral:lncRNA from 1 species